GUGCUUGGUUCAGUAACACAUGCACUAAAACUGGAAUGAUAUAAGAGAUUAUCAUGGUACCUGCAAAAAAAUGACAUAAUAUUCAUGAAAUGUCACACAUUUUA